UCCUCUCCACAUGAACCCCUCCACAGGCUGCUGCUUGGACUUCCUCAUGGCAUGGUGGCUGGAUUCCAAGGUAAAUGUCCCAAGUAAACAAGGCAGCUACAACAAACUACCAUAGAUUGCAUGGCUUACAAACAACAGAAAUUUAUUUCUCGCAGUUAUGGAGACUGGAAAGUCCAAGAUCAAGCUCUGAAGCGAAGAGCCCUGGCAGCUUCAGCUUUUGCUUCUUGAAAGCCAGCUGCCAUUACUAUCCCAGUAUAGAGAGAGAAGGACCUGGAAGAUGAGAAACCAAGGGACAGAGAGACCCAGCCUGCUCUCAGUCAUUCUUGCAACCCCAGCUGAGGCACCAGACAAAUGAGUGAAGCCACAUUGGAUCCUCCAGCCCCAGUUGAGCUGCCCCACCCAACACCAUGUGAAACAGAGCCAAGCUAUCCCCACUGAGUCCUGUCCAAAUUGCAAAAUCAUGAGCAAAUAAAUAGUUAUUUCUAUUUUAA